rnacentral:rRNA from 1 species
UACAGAGGUCUCAAGCGUUGUUCGGAUUCAUUGGGCGUAAAGGGUGCGUAGGCGGUCGGGUAAGUCUGAUGUGAAAUCUCACAGCUUAACUGUGAAACUGCAUUGGAUACUAUCCGGCUCGAGGAAUGGAGGGGAGACUGGAAUACUUGGUGUAGCAGUGAAAUGCGUAGAUAUCAAGUGGAACACCAGUGGCGAAGGCGAGUCUCUGGACAUUUCCUGACGCUGAGGCACGAAAGCCAGGGGAGCAAACGGG